CGGCACCUCCCGCCCCCUCUUGAAGGUUAAGUUAAUUUUAUUUAAUUCUCUAUAUCUAUAUAUAUAUAGAUAUUCUCUAUAUAGCGCCAAAUCACAACACAUUACCUUUUCUAUAGAACAGGACUAUACAUUGUCCUUUUAUUAAGCAAACUAAAUAGCCUUAUGUUAUUUAUGUUAUUUACACAGCAGCUUGACAUUUUUGUCUCUACACGGUCGGGCGUUUACAGGCCUCCUCUGCUCUCUGUCAUGCAUGGCGGAGCUCCGCCCCUAUGUGCGCACACACAGGUGAGCACACUCCCACCAGCGGACAGAGAGCGCGAGUCGGAAAAUAUGUCGCACCAAGCACCUGAAAAGCUGCUUUUUAAAAUAUUUAUAUAUUUUCUAUUUAUAUUUUUUAUAUUGACUGCUGUAGUUAAAAGAAACACAUGAACACCAUGAAUCCUGUAGGUGUCCGUCUGCCCCCCCCGCCCCCGAGGGGAAACACUGCCUUGCCUGCUCACCCAUGUUUAAUGCACCUUAGUUCUCCAUACUGACCAUCUAGUCCUGAUACACCGUGUGUGUGUGUGUGUGUGUGUAUAUGUAUGUAUGUAUGUAUGUGAAAGUAUAAGAUGGUGAAAAUCACAAGGUCACUGGUCCAAACCCAGCCUCAGCAUAUGGGUGGGCCUUUGCCCCCAGGCCCCUAACCCCCAGCUCCCUGGGCACCUCAACAGGUGGCUGCCCUUCACGGACAACUUACUCCACAAAACAGAGCACAAUGAGGGAGGUGUAAAGACAAUUCACCCACGGGGAUUAAUAAAGUAUUGAUUAUUAUUAUUAUAAUAUAUAAGCACAUACACACGCUUUGUAUAUAAUGAGAUGUAUAUUAUCAGGACUUGGUCUGUAUUCAGAUUGGUCUUUGUUUGAAUGGUUGCAUUCAAAUUAUACACACAAUAUACCUUUAUUCAUAAUAUUAAUAAUAUAAUGUUAAAAUGACAUUUGGACUAGACAUAUAUAUGCUUACAUAGUAUACAGUAUAUACAGUAACCCCACCCCCACAUUUCAGCAGGUGAUACAUUCCAAAACCGACCACAGAUAAUAGCGAACCAUCUACAGACCCCAUAUAGAACGUGAAUUGAUAAAUAACCAAGCGUAAGACAUUGCUGACAAUAAAUACAGUAAUAAGUACAUUUUACAUUACUUUACAGCACUAUAGCCUUAAAUUUUCACCAUCUUAUCCGUUUCACAUUGUUCUACUUAGAUGGAUUAACUUCUGCUCAAAAAUAAUAUAUAGCUAAUUAUAAAUAAGGAGAAUCAUGCAUAACAUAGCUAGACACCCAUUAGCAAUUAUUUGGGCAGUAGUGAUGAGCGGGUCGACCUGACCUAUGCUAAUGUUUCGCUAAUCAAGCCUCACAUCUCCAGGAUUUGCACCAUUUUAUAAUCCCACGUUGUUCUACUUUAGAUUAAUUUCUGCUCUCACAAAUGUGACUCAUGUACCUCUGACUGAAGAGAGAGUUUGCCAUAAUUGGUUCCAUAAAACUAAAUGAUCUCUUUCAGACCGAAAAGACAAGAGGCUAGUAAGAUUUGAAAAACAAAACAAAUUCCCUCAUCCAUAUUUAAAUACUACAAUGACAUGUAGAAAGACUGUACCUCACAAAUUUGUGUAAAUUUGUAUUAUGUGGUGGUUGAUGUUGCUAUUUAUUGUUAUUGUUGUUAUCACAGCUGCAGCUGUACUUAUCAUUUUUGUUAUUGCUAUUACUUUUGUUAUUGGCUCUAGUUGUUUUUCUUUUUAUUUAUUUUUAUUAUUUUUAUUUUCUUUUUGUUUUUCUUAAUUUUUCGUUUUUUUUUUUCGCAAUGGACAUGAAAAAAAAAAAACAGUCCUCCGCAGAGGAGGGGUGGUGGAGGGAAUGUACAUGUAAAAAAAAAUAAUUAUUAUAUGGAGGUUGAUGUUGCUAUUUAUUGUUAUUGUUGUUAUCAUAACUGCAGCUGUACUUAUCAUUUUUGAUAAAAAAUGAAAAAAACAUUUUUGAUUUGAAAAAAAAAAACAGUCCUCCGCAGAGGAGGGGUGGUGGAGGGAAUAUACAUGUAAAAAAAAUAAUUAUUAUAUGGAGGUUGAUGUUGCUAUUUAUUGUUAUUGUUGUUAUCAUAACUGCUGCUGUACUUAUCAUUUUUGUUAUUGCUAUUACUAUUGUUAUUGGCUCUAGUUGUUUUUCUUUUUUUUCUUUUUAUUAUUUUUAUUUUCUUUUUGUUUUUCUUUGUUUUUGUGUUUUUUUUCUUCAUAAUGGAAAUUUAAAAUAAAGUAGUCCUCCGCAGAGGAGGGGUGGUGGAGGGAAUAUGCAUGUAAAAAAAAAUAAUUGUCACGCAACAGGGGUGACAUAUAUCUCCCUGAGCCUGCGCAGUUUGUCGGGUGUUAUGGGUGGUCCCGAAGGGGUCUGACCCCCUCUGCUGGUGGUGGGCUGGGUUGGUGCGUGAGUUGUGUCACUGUGGGUCAGGGUCCUGACGGGUAUUCCGGGUACUUUGGGACACUACGUGCGUCGAAGGCGGCUUUGUGGUUUGGUCUUGUGCUGGGUGGGGGUGCCAACCUUCUUCUGUGGCCCUGGGUUCGGCUUCCUGGAAAGUGGGGUGGGCCCUUUUCACGGCCCCCCUCUACUUCCCGCUCCCCCUCAGCACUACUGGUGGUCGCAUGCCGGGGGGUCAGAAUGGGGGGGGUGUCGCUGCUACUCCCCACAUCAACUAUUAGCACAUCCAUGGACAAAUCGCUACAUUCACACACAAGCAUAAAUACAUACAUAUAUAGGUAUGCAUCCACACUUACCUGUACACCCCACACAUGUAGAUACACAUACACAACCAAUAGCAGACACGUUGUUUUUCUUUGUUUAUUUUUUGUGUUUUUUUUUGUUUGAAAUGGAAAUUAAAAAUAAAGCAGUCCUCCGCAGAGGAGGGGUGGUGGAGGGAAUAUAUAUGUAGAUAUAUAAAAUAAUUGUCUCACAACUAGGGUGACAUACCUUGCCUGCUCACUCAAUUUUAGUGCUCCUUAGUUAUCCAUACUGACCAUCUAGUCUCUGUCACGGGAGAUCGCGGGCAGAGCGGCGAUCGUGCGUGCAGGCGGGCAAGGACAGGCAGACAAGCAGAAAUCGGGGCAAAGUACGGGGUUUAAUCGGGGACACGGAACUACGAACACUGACUGACAUCAAUGACGGACGAAGGACUCAGGUAAGACACGGACUGAAAUACACAGGACUGAGCAAAUGAACUAGAUACAGCUGGGUACAAUCGGGAGAAAACACGUGGGUAAUCAGGGGGCGUGGCACACAGGAGGAGCGGACGAGCCGGGCAUGACAGUCUCGAUACACCCAUAUAUAUAUUUUUUUGGGAAUAUGGUGGGGUGCAUGGGAUUCCGCCGUCUGCCAGCGGUGGGGAGCUCGUACCCUGACCACUCCCUCACUUUUAAUGUACCGCAGUUUUGAAUUGCACACACUUCUGUUCACACACACAUUCAUACACACCGACAUGUACAUACAUUACACACACACACAUUGAGCGGGGGGGGGGCAGAUGGGGGCCUGAAGAGGGCCCCUUUUAUUCUCCCUCUCUGGGCCCUUGGAGGGUGUGGUGGGUGGUCCCGGGGGGGGUUUGGAGAGUACCCGGAAAACCUGCCUGGUCCUUGACCCACAGUGGCACAUCCUUGAUGAUAAUACGUUGUUGUAAAUUUGUAUUAUGUGGUGGUUGAUGUUGCUAUUUAUUGUUAUUGUUGUUAUCACAGCUGCAGCUGUACUUAUCAUUUUUGUUAUUGCUAUUAAUUUUGUUAUUGGCUCUAGUUUUUCUUUUUAUUUAUUUUUAUUAUUUUUAUUUUCUUUUUGUUUUUCUUAAUUUUUUGUUUUUUUUUACGCAAUGGACAUGAAAAAAAAAACAGUCCUCCGCAGAGGAGGGGUGGUGGAGGGAAUAUACAUGUAAAAAAAAAUAAUUAUUAUAUGGAGGUUGAUGUUGCUAUUUAUUGUUAUUGUUGUUAUCAUAACUGCAGCUGUACUUAUCAUUUUUGAUAAAAAAUGAAAAAAACAUUUUUGAUUUGAAAAAAAAAACAGUCCUCCGCAGAGGAGGGGUGGUGGAGGGAAUAUACAUGUAAAAAAACAUAUUAUUAUAUGAAGGUUGAUGUUGCUAUUUAUUGUUAUUGUUGUUAUCAUAACUGCAGCUGUACUUAUCAUUUUUGAUAAAAAAUGAAAAAAACAUUUUUGAUUUGAAAAAAAAAACAGUCCUCCGCAGAGGAGGGGUGGUGGAGGGAAUAUACAUGUAAAAAAAAAUAUUAUUAUAUGAAGGUUGAUGUUGCUAUUUAUUGUUAUUGUUGUUAUCAUAACUGCUGCUGUACUUAUCAUUUUUGUUAUUGCUAUUACUAUUGUUAUUGGCUCUAGUUGUUUUUCUUUUUUUUAUUUUUAUUAUUUUUAUUUUCUUUUUGUUUUUCUUUGUUUUUGUGUUUUUUUUCUUCAUAAUGGAAAUUUAAAAUAAAGUAGUCCUCCGCAGAGGAGGGGUGGUGGAGGGAAUAUGCAUGUAAAAAAAAAAUAAUUGUCACGCAACAGGGGUGACAUAUAUCUCCCUGAGCCUGCGCAGUUUGUCGGGUGUUAUGGGUGGUCCCGAAGGGGUCUGACCCCCUCUGCUGGUGGUGGGCUGGGUUGGUGCGUGAGUUGUGUCACUGUGGGUCAGGGUCCUGACGGGUAUUCCGGGUACUUUGGGACACUACGUGCGUCGAAGGCAGCUUUGUGGUUUGGUCUUGUGCUGGGUGGGGGUGCCUACCUUCUUCUGUGGCCCUGGGUUCGGCUUCCUGGAAAGUGGGGUGGGCCCUUUUCACGGCCCCCCUCUACUUCCCGCUCCCCCUCAGCACUACUGGUGGUCGCAUGCCGGGGGGUCAGAAUGGGGGGGGUGUCGCUGCUACUCCCCACAUCAACUAUUAGCACAUCCAUGGACAAAUCGCUACACUCACACACAAGCAUAAAUACAUACAUAUAUAGGUAUGCAUCCACACUUACCUGUACACCCCACACAUGUAGAUACACAUACACAACCAAUAGCAGACACGUUGUUUUUCUUUGUUUAUUUUUUGUGUUUUUUUUUUGUUUGAAAUGGAAAUUAAAAAUAAAGCAGUCCUCCGCAGAGGAGGGGUGGUGGAGGGAAUAUAUAUGUAGAUAUAUAAAAUAAUUGUCUCACAACUAGGGUGACAUACCUUGCCUGCUAACUGAAUUUUAGUGCUCCUUAGUUAUCCAUACUGACCAUCUAGUCUCUGUCACGGGAGAUCGCGGGCAGAGCGGCGAUCGUGCGUGCAGGCGGGCAAGGACAGGCAGACAAGCAGAAAUCGGGGCAAAGUACGGGGUUUAAUCGGGGACACGGAACUACGAACACUGACUGACAUCAAUGACGGACGAAGGACUCAGGUAAGACACGGACUGAAAUACACAGGACUGAGCAAAUGAACUAGAUACAGCUGGGUACAAUCGGGAGAAAACACGUGGGUAAUCAGGGGGCGUGGCACACAGGAGGAGCGGACGAGCCGGGCAUGACAGAACCCCCCCCCCCAAAGGCGCGCUACUCCGGGCGCGCCAAGGAAGGGGGCGACGGACGGGACGAGGCAAAACAGGACCUGAAAAACAAGAACAGAAUCAACGCAGGACGGGGAACAGGACCGAAGCACAAAACAUGGCAAGAGACAGAACGUAGGACAGGAGCUGACAAAGGGCUGGGAAAGCGGAGAGACAGAUCUGUCACGGGAGAUCGCGGGCAGAGCGGCGAUCGUGCGUGCAGGCGGGCAAGGACAGGCAGACAAGCAGAAAUCGGGGCAAAGUACGGGGUUUAAUCGGGGACACGGAACUACGAACACUGACUGACAUCAAUGAUGGACGAAGGACUCAGGAGGAGCGGACGAGCCGGGUAUGACAGAACCCCCCCCCAAAGGCGCGCUACUCCGGGCGCGCCAAGGAAGGGGGCGACGGACGGGACGAGGCAAAACAGGACCUGAAAAACAAGAACAGAAUCAACGCAGGACGGGGAACAGGACCGAAGCACAAAACAUGGCAAGAGACAGGACGUAGGACAGGAGCUGACAAAGGGCUGGGAAAGCAGAGAGACAGAUCUGUCACGGGAGAUCGCGGGCAGAGCGGCGAUCGUGCGUGCAGGCGGGCAAGGACAGGCAGACAAGCAGAAAUCGGGGCAAAGUACGGAGUUUAAUCGGGGACACGGAACUACGAACACUGACUGACAUCAAUGACGGACGAAGGACUCAGGAGGAGCGGACGAGCCGGGCAUGACAGAACCCCCCCCCAAAGGCGCGCUACUCCGGGCGCGCCAAGGAAGGGGGCGACGGACGGGACGAGGCAAAACAGGACCUGAAAAACAAGAACAGAAUCAACGCAGGACGGGGAACAGGACCGAAGCACAAAACAUGGCAAGAGACAGAACGUAGGACAGGAGCUGACAAAGGGCUGGGAAAGCGGAGAGACAGAUCUGUCACGGGAGAUCGCGGGCAGAGCGGCGAUCGUGCGUGCAGGCGGGCAAGGACAGGCAGACAAGCAGAAAUCGGGGCAAAGUACGGGGUUUAAUCGGGGACACGGAACUACGAACACUGACUGACAUCAAUGACGGACGAAGGACUCAGGUAAGACACGGACUGAAAUACACAGGACUGAGCAAAUGAACUAGAUACAGCUGGGUACAAUCGGGAGAAAACACGUGGGUAAUCAGGGGGCGUGGCACACAGGAGGAGCGGACGAGCCGGGCAUGACAGAACCCCCCCCCCAAAGGCGCGCUACUCCGGGCGCGCCAAGGAAGGGGGCGACGGACGGGACGAGGCAAAACAGGACCUGAAAAACAAGAACAGAAUCAACGCAGGACGGGGAACAGGACCGAAGCACAAAACAUGGCAAGAGACAGAACGUAGGACAGGAGCUGACAAAGGGCUGGGAAAGCGGAGAGACAGAUCUGUCACGGGAGAUCGCGGGCAGAGCGGCGAUCGUGCGUGCAGGCGGGCAAGGACAGGCAGACAAGCAGAAAUCGGGGCAAAGUACGGGGUUUAAUCGGGGACACGGAACUACGAACACUGACUGACAUCAAUGACGGACGAAGGACUCAGGUAAGACACGGACUGAAAUACACAGGACUGAGCAAAUGAACUAGAUACAGCUGGGUACAAUCGGGAGAAAACACGUGGGUAAUCAGGGGGCGUGGCACACAGGAGGAGCAGACGAGCCGGGCAUGACAGAACCCCCCCCCAAAGGCGCGCUACUCCGGGCGCGCCAAGGAAGGGGGCGACGGACGGGACGAGGCAAAACAGGACCUGAAAAACAAGAACAGAAUCAACGCAGGAUGGGGAACAGGACCGAAGCACAAAACAUGGCAAGAGACAGAACGUAGGACAGGAGCUGACAAAGGGCUGGGAAAGCGGAGAGACAGAUCUGUCACGGGAGAUCGCGGGCACACAGGAGGAGCGGACGAGCCGGUGCUCCUUAGUUAUCCAUACUGACCAUCUAGUCUCUGUCACGGGAGAUCGCGGGCAGAGCGGCGAUCGUGCGUGCAGGCGGGCAAGGACAGGCAGACAAGCAGAAAUCGGGGCAAAGUACGGGGUUUAAUCGGGGACACGGAACUACGAACACUGACUGACAUCAAUGACGGACGAAGGACUCAGGUAAGACACGGACUGAAAUACACAGGACUGACCAAAUGAACUAGAUACAGCUGGGUACAAUCGGGAGAAAACACGUGGGUAAUCAGGGGGCGUGGCACACAGGAGGAGCGGACGAGCCGGGCAUGACAGAACCCCCCCCCAAAGGCGCGCUACUCCGGGCGCGCCAAGGAAGGGGGCGACGGACGGGACGAGGCAAAACAGGACCUGAAAAACAAGAACAGAAUCAACGCAGGACGGGGAACAGGACCGAAGCACAAAACAUGGCAAGAGACAGAACGUAGGACAGGAGCUGACAAAGGGCUGGGAAAGCGGAGAGACAGAUCUGUCACGGGAGAUCGCGGGCAGAGCGGCGAUCGUGCGUGCAGGCGGGCAAGGACAGGCAGACAAGCAGAAAUCGGGGCAAAGUACGGGGUUUAAUCGGGGACACGGAACUACGAACACUGACUGACAUCAAUGACGGACGAAGGACUCAGGUAAGACACGGACUGAAAUACACAGGACUGAGCAAAUGAACUAGAUACAGCUGGGUACAAUCGGGAGAAAACACGUGGGUAAUCAGGGGGCGUGGCACACAGGAGGAGCGGACGAGCCGGGCAUGACAGAACCCCCCCCCCAAAGGCGCGCUACUCCGGGCGCGCCAAGGAAGGGGGCGACGGACGGGACGAGGCAAAACAGGACCUGAAAAACAAGAACAGAAUCAACGCAGGACGGGGAACAGGACCGAAGCACAAAACAUGGCAAGAGACAGAACGUAGGACAGGAGCUGACAAAGGGCUGGGAAAGCGGAGAGACAGAUCUGUCACGGGAGAUCGCGGGCAGAGCGGCGAUCGUGCGUGCAGGCGGGCAAGGACAGGCAGACAAGCAGAAAUCGGGGCAAAGUACGGGGUUUAAUCGGGGACACGGAACUACGAACACUGACUGACAUCAAUGACGGACGAAGGACUCAGGUAAGACACGGACUGAAAUACACAGGACUGAGCAAAUGAACUAGAUACAGCUGGGUACAAUCGGGAGAAAACACGUGGGUAAUCAGGGGGCGUGGCACACAGGAGGAGCAGACGAGCCGGGCAUGACAGAACCCCCCCCCAAAGGCGCGCUACUCCGGGCGCGCCAAGGAAGGGGGCGACGGACGGGACGAGGCAAAACAGGACCUGAAAAACAAGAACAGAAUCAACGCAGGAUGGGGAACAGGACCGAAGCACAAAACAUGGCAAGAGACAGAACGUAGGACAGGAGCUGACAAAGGGCUGGGAAAGCGGAGAGACAGAUCUGUCACGGGAGAUCGCGGGCACACAGGAGGAGCGGACGAGCCGGUUAUCCAUACUGACCAUCUAGUCUCUGUCACGGGAGAUCGCGGGCAGAGCGGCGAUCGUGCGUGCAGGCGGGCAAGGACAGGCAGACAAGCAGAAAUCGGGGCAAAGUACGGGGUUUAAUCGGGGACACGGAACUACGAACACUGACUGACAUCAAUGACGGACGAAGGACUCAGGUAAAUCACGGACUGAAAUACACAGGACUGAGCAAAUGAACUAGAUACAGCUGGGUACAAUCGGGAGAAAACACGUGGGUAAUCAGGGGGCGUGUGGCACACAGGAGGAGCGGACGAGCCGGGUAUGACAGAACCCCCCCCCAAAGGCGCGCUACUCCGGGCGCGCCAAGGAAGAGGGCGACGGACGGGACGAGGCAAAACAGGACCUGAAAAACAAGAACAGAAUCAACGCAGGACGGGGAACAGGACCGAAGCACAAAACAUGGCAAGAGACAGAACGUAGGACAGGAGCUGACAAAGGGCUGGGAAAGCGGAGAGACAGAUCUGUCACGGGAGAUCGCGGGCAGAGCGGCGAUCGUGCGUGCAGGCGGGCAAGGACAGGCAGGCAAGCAGAAAUCGGGGCAAAGUACGGAGUUUAAUCGGGGACACGGAACUACGAACACUGACUGACAUCAAUGACGGACGAAGGACUCAGGUAAGACACGGACUGAAAUACACAGGACUGAGCAAAUGAACUAGAUACAGCUGGGUACAAUCGGGAGAAAACACGUGGGUAAUCAGGGGGCGUGGCACACAGGAGGAGCGGACGAGUCGGGCAUGACAGAACCCCCCCCAAAGGCACGCUACUCCGGGCGCGCCAAGGAAGGGGGCGACGGACGGGACGAGGCAAAACAGGACCUGAAAAACAAGAACAGAAUCAACGCAGGACGGGGAACAGGACCGAAGCACAAAACAUGGCAAGAGACAGAACGUAGGACAGGAGCUGACAAAGGGCUGGGAAAGCGGAGAGACAGAUCUGUCACGGGAGAUCGCGGGCAGAGCGGCGAUCGUGCGUGCAGGCGGGCAAGGACAGGCAGACAAGCAGAAAUCGGGGCAAAGUACGGGGUUUAAUCGGGGACACGGAACUACGAACACUGACUGACAUCAAUGACGGACGAAGGACUCAGGUAAGACACGGACUGAAAUACACAGGACUGAGCAAAUGAACUAGAUACAGCUGGGUACAAUCGGGAGAAAACACGUGGGUAAUCAGGGGGCGUGGCACACAGGAGGAGCGGACGAGCCGGGCAUGACAGAACCCCCCCCCAAAGGCGCGCUACUCCGGGCGCGCCAAGGAAGGGGGCGACGGACGGGACGAGGCAAAACAGGACCUGAAAAACAAGAACAGAAUCAACGCAGGAUGGGGAACAGGACCGAAGCACAAAACAUGGCAAGAGACAGAACGUAGGACAGGAGCUGACAAAGGGCUGGGAAAGCGGAGAGACAGAUCUGUCACGGGAGAUCGCGGGCACACAGGAGGAGCGGACGAGCCGGGCAUGACAGUCUCGAUACACCCAUAUAUAUUUUUUUUUGGGAAUAUGGUGGGGUGCACGGGAUUCCGCCGUCUGCCAGCGGUGGGGAGCUCGUACUCUGACCACUCCCUCACUUUUAAUGUACCGCAGUUUUGAAUUGCACACACUUCAGUUCACAAACACAUUCAUACACACCGACAUGUACAUACAUUACACACACACACAUUGAGCGGGGGGCAGAUGGGGGCCUGAAGGGGGCCCCUUUUAUUCUCCCUCUCUGGGCCCUUGGAGGGUGUGGUGGGUGGUCCCGGGGGGGGUCUGGAGAGUACCCGGAACACCUGCCUGGUCCUUGACCCACAGUGGCACAUCCUUGAUGAUAAUACGUAGUUGUAAAUUUGUAUUAUGUGGUGGUUAAUGUUGCUAUUUAUAGUUAUUGUUGUUAUCACAGCUGCAGCUGUACUUAUCAUUUUUGUUAUUGCUAUUACUUUUGUUAUUUGCUCUAGUUGUUUUUCUUUUUAUUUAUUUUUAUUUUCUUUUUGUUUUUCUUUGUUUUUGUGUUUUUUUUUCUUCAUAAUGGAAAUUUAAAAUAAAGUAGUCCUCCGCAGAGGAGGGGUGGUGGAGGGAAUAUGCAUGUAAAAAAAAAUAAUUGUCACGCAACAGGGGUGACAUAUAUCUCCCUGAGCCUGCGCAGUUUGUCGGGUGUUAUGGGUGGUCCCGAAGGGGUCUGACCCCCUCUGCUGGUGGUGGGCUGGGUUGGUGCGUGAGUUGUGUCACUGUGGGUCAGGGUCCUGAUGGGUAUUCCGGGUACUUUGGGACACCACGUGUGUCGAAGGCGGCUUUGUGGUUUGGUCUUGUGCUGGGUGGGGGUGCCUACCUUCUUCUGUGGCCCUGGGUUCGGCUUCCUGGAAAGUGGGGUGGGCCCUUUUCACGGCCCCCCUCUACUUCCCGCUCCCCCUCAGCACUACUGGUGGUCGCAUGCCGGGGGGUCAGAAUGGGGGGGGUGUCGCUGCUACUCCCCACAUCAACUAUUAGCACAUCCAUGGACAAAUCGCUACACUCACACACAAGCAUAAAUACAUACAUAUAUAGGUAUGCAUCCACACUUACCUGUACACCCCACACAUGUAGAUACACAUACACAACCAAUAGCAGACACGUUGUUUUUCUUUGUUUAUUUUUUGUGUUUUUUUUUGUUUGAAAUGGAAAUUAAAAAUAAAGCAGUCCUCCGCAGAGGAGGGGUGGUGGAGGGAAUAUACAUGUAAAAAAAAAAUUAUUAUAUGGAGGUUGAUGUUGCUAUUUAUUGUUAUUGUUGUUAUCAUAACUGCAGCUGUAAUUAUCAUUUUUGUUAUUGCUAUUACUAUUGUUACUGGCUCUAGUUGUUUUCUUUUUAUUUAUUUUUAUUAUUUUUAUUUUCUUUUUGUUUUUCUUUGUUUUUGUGUUUUUUUUCCUUUUUAAUGGAAAUUAAAAAUAAAGCAGUCCUCCGCAGAGGAGGGGUGGUGGAGGGAAUAUAUAUGUAAAAAAAAAUAAUUGUCUCACAACUAGGGUGACAUACCUUGUCUGCUCACUCAAUUUUAGUGCUCCUUAGUUAUCCAUACUGACCAUCUAGUGUCGAUACACCCAUUUAUAUGUAUACUAUUCCGAUAUUUUCCGAAUUUAUUUUAUGUUAUUCCUUAUUACUAUGUAAUGGGAUAGAUAUUUAAGAGCUAUUUAAUCCAUAACCACUCCCUAAGGAGUCAAUGUGUAUCUAAUGAAUUUCAUUUUUGCACUCAAUAAACUGCAUUUUUUUCACAUUA